rnacentral:misc_RNA from 1 species
GAAUCAAUAAUGCAACCAAGGCGCCUUGAAUCGCACACAUCCAAUUAUGUUAAUUCUCUGAAAUCUGUAUAUCGGCAUUGCAAGGUUUCUUGUUAAAGGGAGUGACGGUGCUGCAACCAAAGAUCGUUAAUUGAAUUUUUUUCUCACAGCUUUUUUAGGGUGAUUGUGCUUUUCUCAUGUACACAGUUUGCUUAAUUUCGGCAUUUACACUCUACGUGUCUCUCUAA